rnacentral:rRNA from 1 species
CCAUGGAGUGGAGCCUGCGGCUUAAUUUGACUCAACACUGGGAAACUCAUCAGGGCAAGAAGAUUUUAGGAUUGACAGAUUGAGAGUUCUUUCUUGAUUGGUCUAGUGGUGGUGCAUGGCCGUUCUUAGUUGGUGGAGUGAUUUGUCUGGUUAAUUCCGUUAACGAACGAGACCUUAACCUGCUAACUAGUACGUGGAUGUAUAAUCUGCGUUACUUCUUAGAGGGACUAUGUGAUGUAAUCACAUGGAAGUUUGAGGCAAUAACAGGUCUGUGAUGCCCUUAGAUGUCCUGAGCUGCACGCGCGCUACAAUGACACAUUCAACGAGUAUUUCCUGUCCCGAAAGGGCACGGGUAAUCUUUUUAGUGUGUGUCGUGACAGGGAUAGAUCUUUGUAAUUAUGGAUCUUGAACGAGGAAUUCCUAGUAAGCGCAUGUCAUCAGCAUGUGCUGAUUACGUCCCUGCAAAAUGUACACACCGCCCGUCGCUAUUACCGAUUGGGUGUAGAGGUGAACCUUCUCGAUAGCCGCAAGGCUAGAAAUUAAGUAAACC